AGCGUCUGGAAAGGCGCGCGAUACAGGGUGACAGCCCCGUACACAAAAGCGCAUGUGCUGUGAGCUCGAUGAGUAGGGCGGGACACGUGGUAUCCUGUCUGAAUAUGGGGGGACCAUCCUCCAAGGCUAAAUACUCCUGACUGACCGAUAGUGAACCAGUACCGUGAGGGAAAGGCGAAAAGAACCCCGGCGAGGGGAGUGAAAAAGAACCUGAAACCGUGUACGUACAAGCAGUGGGAGCCCCACCACUAAGCCAGUGGUGAACUCCACAUACGCAUCCUUUGCUGAGGAUACGGUUAACGGAGCGAAAGCGACGUUCAACCUCAAAAGAAGCAGAGGGGGCUUAGUGGUGGGGUGACUGCGUACCUUUUGUAUAAUGGGUCAGCGACUUAUAUUCUGUAGCAAGGUUAACCGUAUAGGGGAGCCGGAGGGAAACCGAGUCUUAAUUGGGCGUUAAGUUGCAGGGUAUAGACCCGAAACCCGGUGAUCUAGCCAUGGGCAGGUUGAAGGUUGGGUAACACUAACUGGAGGACCGAACCGACUAAUGUUGAAAAAUUAGCGGAUGACCUGUGGCUGGGGGUGAAAGGCCAAUCAAACCGGGAGAUAGCUGGUUCUCCCCGAAAGCUAUUUAGGUAGCGCCUCGUGAAUUCAUCUCCGGGGGUAG
rnacentral:rRNA from 1 species